UAGGGGUGAUGGUGAGUGGUACCACUUC
rnacentral:piRNA from 1 species